UGUGUGAUUUAUUUGGGGGCUGGAUGGUGGGCCCCCCAAAGAAUAAAAAUAAAAAAUAACCAACAACAUAUUGGCAUACCAAUGUGGGCCAAAUUUCCAUGUAGGUACUGAGAAAGCUGAGAAAAAAAAAAAAAAAAAGGAAAGGAAAAAAAAGAAAAACGACACUACUUUAAGAGGCACUGCUGUUCAGUCAGCAGUGCUUAAAAACAAACAACAAACAAAGGCAAGCUAAGUAAAAUAGCUUGUGGCAAUGCAGAUACCAGCUUCCUACAGUUAGGAAGGUGGAAUGCAUGUUUGAUCAAAUACCUCUGACAGGGCUGUGAGCUUUAGGCUUGUCUUUCAGGACCCGAGAAGCAGGCAGAGCCAGCCAAGAGGGCCGCAAGGAGGAUCUAGGUAUAGCUUAGCAGUCUAAAGUUUGCUUGUGCAAUCAAAAAAGAUAUGCAGUAAAAGAAGUCUAGACAGAAAAGACCUCUAAACAGAUUCCAGUGUGUUUUACAAUGUGCAUAGGCUUAAGAAAGAAAAAGGUAUGGACAGUUAAAGAAACAAAUAGUUUAGAAAGAGUACAUUCUUUAAAGAUACAGUAAAAUUAAUAUAAAAGAAAAAAGCCACAUAAGAUGGGAAAUACACAGGGAGUCUGGAUCCUAUAUAGUAUUGUGUUGUUUUUGAAUUUUUUGAAUGCUGAUAAGCAAAAAUAGUUAAGAGGCAUGGGAUUGUGAACUGGACUGCCAAAUUGAACCAAUCAGGAUACUUUAAUGCCUUAACUUUAAAAAGAAGAAAAAAAAAUUGUCAAAUGGAAGUCAAAAAUGCUUUCAAGUUUUGUUCCCACAGAAGUCGAGAGGUUGUGGACUCCUUCAGGAAUAAUAUGGAUCAGGUUUGAUCAAGGGAGACCUACUAAAUCUUGACAGAUGGUAUCUAUCAACAACGGUUACUGCUGGUCUUCCCAGGAUUUGGCUAUUAUCUCAAAAUGUUCUUGGGGACCCUAAAGAGGCCUUCACCCACAGACAGCAAGAAGCAGUUUGGAGGACACAUUGCCCACAUUCCCAAGAGGGGUGUGGUUGACUUUUGGUUAACUGAUACAUCUGUCUGGAUCCUUGGUUCCGCUAACAGAUGCCAACCAUGCCCCCCUAGCAUGUUGGCCAAUGGACUGCUUUGUGGCUGAGGCCCUUCUGGGAUCAGAGGACACACACAGCAUGAAUGCUGAGCUGAAGAGCAAAUCCCUGAGCUAAUGGUGUCGCCUGGCCUGAGAACUCUGCACUCCAGCAGCGCUAACCCAGCACCUGGUGAAGUGGAGCCACCGCCAAGCCUGAGGGUUGGGCCAGCACCUGCCCACUCCUGUGGCUCAGCACAUCCCCUUCACUUCCGGCCUUCCGCCUAGAAACUGGUUCUGUCCCAGUACCGUUCCUGUUCAGUCCUGGAGCCUCACAGCCACAGAGGUCUGGGUCUGCGAGUUCAGAAGCUACCCACGUGGUAGGGGUCCCCCCUUAAGUUGAAGAGCGUGGCUGCCUGGGCUGCAACUGCAGGGACACCAGAAAGCCCCCCCCCCAUCACCCUCCUUCAACUGGGGCGUGGCUCAUGAGACGAGCUGCCAGAGUGAGAUGAGGAAUGUGCCUUUUGCUUUAAUGUCUAUUAAAUAAGUUGGCAGGAGAAACAAA